rnacentral:pre_miRNA from 1 species
UGAUGAUGAUGAUGAUGAUGGUGGUGGUGGUGGUGAUGAUAGUGAUGACGUUUUUCCGAACUUAAUGUCAGGCUUAGAUUAAUAUUACAUCAUCAUCAUCUUCAUCAUCACCAUCAUCAUCAUUGUUA